rnacentral:rRNA from 1 species
UAGGGAAUCUUCCACAAUGGACGCAAGUCUGAUGGAGCAACGGCCGCGUGAGUGAAGAAGGUUUUCGGACCGUAAAGCUCUGUUGUUGGUGAAGAAGGAUAGAGGUAGUAACUGGCCUUUAUUUGACGGUAAUCAACCAGAAAGUCACGGCUAACUACGUGCCAGCAGCCGCGGUAAUACGUAGGUGGCAAGCGUUGUCCGGAUUUAUUGGGCGUAAAGCGAGCGCAGGCGGAAGAAUAAGUCUGAUGUGAAAGCCCUCGGCUUAACCGAGGAAUUGCAUCGGAAACUGUUUUUCUUGAGUGCAGAAGAGGAGAGUAGAACUCCAUGUGUAGCGGUGGAAUGCGUAGAUAUAUGGAAGAAUACCAGUGGCGAAGGCGGCUCUCUGGUCUGCAACUGACGCUGAGGCUCGAAAGCAUGGGUAGCGAACAGGAUUAGAUACCCUGGUAGUCCAUGCCGUAAACGAUGAGUGCUAAGUGUUGGGAGGCUUCCGCCUCUCAGUGCUGCAGCUAAUGCAUUAAGCACUCCGCCUGGGGGAGUACGACCGCAAGGUUGAAAC